AUUGAACGCUGGCGGCAGGCUUAACACAUGCAAGUCGAGCGGAGAGAGGUAGCUUGCUACUGAUCUUAGCGGCGGACGGGUGAGUAAUGCUUAGGAAUCUGCCUAUUAGUGGGGGACAACAUUUCGAAAGGAAUGCUAAUACCGCAUACGUCCUACGGGAGAAAGCAGGGGAUCUUCGGACCUUGCGCUAAUAGAUGAGCCUAAGUCGGAUUAGCUAGUUGGUGGGGUAAAGGCCUACCAAGGCGACGAUCUGUAGCGGGUCUGAGAGGAUGAUCCGCCACACUGGGACUGAGACACGGGCCAGACUCCUACGGGAGGCAGCAGUGGGGAAUAUUGGACAAUGGGGGGAACCCUGAUCCAGCCAUGCCGCGUGUGUGAAGAAGGCCUUAUGGUUGUAAAGCACUUUAAGCGAGGAGGAGGCUUACCUGGUUAAUACCCAGGAUAAGUGGACGUUACUCGCAGAAUAAGCACCGGCUAACUCUGUGCCAGCCGCCGCAGUAAAAC
rnacentral:rRNA from 1 species